rnacentral:rRNA from 1 species
CAGUAGCCGCGGGAAUACGAAGGGUGCAAGCGUUAAUCGGAAUUACUGGGCGUAAAGCGCGCGUAGGUGGUUUGGUAAGAUGGAUGUGAAAUCCCCGGGCUCAACCUGGGAACUGCAUCCAUAACUGCCUGACUAGAGUACGGUAGAGGGUGGUGGAAUUUCCUGUGUAGCGGUGAAAUGCGUAGAUAUAGGAAGGAACACCAGUGGCGAAGGCGACCACCUGGGCUCAUACUGACACUGAGGUGCGAAAGCGUGGGGAGCAAACAGGAUUAGAUACCCGUGUAGUCCCUGUCUCUUAUAC